rnacentral:lncRNA from 1 species
GCACAAGGACAAAGGUGGUAGAAGAAUGGCCCCAAGAAGAAUUGGGUAUUGAAAGCAGUUGAGGAAAUGUAAUGCCUUUUAAAUACAGAAAUGCAAGAACAGCUCCACAGCCAAGAUCCAGAUGUGUCAUUUCCCUCCCCUGGCUUGUGGAUGGACAUCAGCUGGAGAACACGGGUGAUGCAGUAGAGGAUAACAUAGUCACUUACACAAGGGUAAG